AACGAACGCUGGCGGCAGGCUUAACACAUGCAAGUCGAGCGGGGACUCCCUGCCUUUCGGCGGUGCUCGGAGUACGGACGGGGAAUUAACACUUCUCUACCCUACCCUUCAGUGUAAGUUAGCGUCAUAAAACUUACGCUAAUACCGGGUAGGAGCUCCUGGUGCAUGGUCAGCGUGCGUUGGUUUCGGCGGUUGGGGAUGGACUCGCGUACUAUCAGCUUGUUCGUGGGGUAGUUGCUUAGCAAGACUUUGCCGGGUAGCCGGCCUGCGAGGGUGAGCGGACAAACUGGGACUGAGAUACGGCCCAGACUACUACCGGAGGCAGCAGUGGGGAGGAUUGCAUAAUGGGCGGAAGCCUGAUGCAGUAACGCCGCGUGGGGGAUGACGGGAUUCGGGUAGUAAACUACAUUCGCUUGUGACGAAGAGUGAGUGACGGUAAUGGGUAAAGAAGCACCGGCUAACUACGUG
rnacentral:rRNA from 1 species